GUUGAAAUUGAAUAUAUUAACGAUGAAGAGCAUACUUUUAUAAAAGAGUAUACAGAAGUUAUGCAAUAUGUUGCUGUUUCCCUUGAAAUUUUGGAAGGUGAGGAUAAUAUGGAGAUGGGGUAUUAUGUUCCCACUUUAAGUAUCCUAAAUACCAAAUUAAAGAGAUUGAAUAAUCUAAUCUUAUGCCAGCCCCUAGUAGACUCUCUGUUAAAAGGCAUUGAGAGAAGAUUCCCAAACUUAUACAAUGAUGACAAUGUCUUAGCAGCAAUGGUUCAUCCAAAGUUUAAACUAAACUGGCCAUAUAUAAAUUCCGAUGAUGCCAAACAUCAACGCGAUAGGCUAAUGGCGAAGCUGAAUAAUCUUACUCCAACAAACAAAGAUUGCCGAGUAUCUACCACGAAGACAUCCUCAAAUAAUUUUUUUGAAAUUAAAGAUGAUUUAAUAGAAAAUCCAAUUGAUCUUUUUUUUCAAUCAAAAAAUAUUGAAAUGAAUAUUUUUGAUAAUUUUUCAUAUAUUAAAAAUUUAUAUAUAAAAUUUAAUACACCCUUGCCCUCAAGUGCUAGUGUUGAGAGAUUAUUUAGUAAAGCAAAGCUUAUACUUUCUGAUCGUCGCUCUAGACUUGGGGAUGAUAAUAUUGAAAUGAUAUUAUUAUUAAAAUGCAACAAAUUAAAAUAAAUAUUUAUUUAUAUUGCUUAUUUUUUAUAAUCGAAACUAACUAUAUUUUUAUAUUUAUAAAUGUUGAUUUUUAUAUAUUAUUUAUUAUACAUUUACAUUA